GCCUGACUGGCUCAGUGAGAAGAGCGUGUGACUAUUAAUCUCAGAGUCAUGGGUAUAAGUUCCAUGUUGGGUG
rnacentral:tRNA from 1 species